rnacentral:rRNA from 1 species
UGGGGAAUCUUGCGCAAUGGGGGAAACCCUGACGCAGCGACGCCGCGUGCGGGAUGAAGGCCUUCGGGUUGUAAACCGCUUUCAGCAGGGACGAGGCCUUAUGGUGACGGUACCUGCAGAAGAAGCUCCGGCUAAAUACGUGCCAGCAGCCGCGGUAAUAUGUAUGGAGCAAGCGUUAUCCGGAUUCAUUGGGCGUAAAGCGCUCGUAGGCGGUCUGUUAGGUCGGCAAGUUAAAUCCGGGGGCUCAACCCCCGUCCGCUUCCGAUACCGUCAGACUUGAGUUUGGUAGUGGAAGGUGGAAUUCCUAGUGUAUCGGUGGAAUGCGCAGAUAUUAGGAAGAACACCGGUGGCGAAGGCGGCCUUCUGGGCCAUAACUGACACUGAGGAGCGAAAGCUAGGGGAGCGAACAGG